rnacentral:rRNA from 1 species
UACGUAGGGCGCAAGCGUUGUCCGGAAUUAUUGGGCGUAAAGAGCUCGUAGGCGGUCUGUCGCGUCCGUUGUGAAAACUCGAGGCUCAACCUCGGGCUUGCAGUGGAUACGGGCAGACUAGAGUGCGGUAGGGGAGACUGGAAUUCCUGGUGUAGCGGUGGAAUGCGUAGAGAUCAGCAGGAACACCCGUGGCGAAGGCGGCCCCCUGGGCCGUACCUGACGCUGAGGCGCGAAGGCUAGGGGAGCGAACGGG